rnacentral:rRNA from 1 species
GGGAGGCGGCGGUUCAAUUGGAUACAACACCGGGAAUCUCACCAGGAACGACAGCAGGUUGAAGGUCAGUCUGAAGGGCUUACCUGACAAGCUGAGAGGUGGUGCAUGGCCAUCGUCAGCUCGUACCGUGAGGCGUGCCGUUAAGUCGGUUAACGAGCGAGACCCACACCUCAUGUUGCUACUUUGCUUUUCGAGGCAGAGGCACUCAUGAGGGACCGCUGGUGAUAAACCAGAGGAAGGUGUGGGCGACGGUAGGUCUGUAUGCCCCGAAUUUCCUGGGCUACACGCGGCCUACAAUGCAUGCCACAAUGAGAUGCAACCGCGAAAGCGGAAGCUAAUCCCUUAAAAGCAUGCCUAGUUCGGAUCGAAGACUGUAACUCGUCUUCGUGAAGCCGGAAUCCCUAGUAGGCGAACGUCAUCAAGCUGGUGAACUGCUAAUGAUAAACAUGCACCACGCUUGAUAUUAUCGAUCAAAUUAGAGGCUAAAUGAUAAUCUAUAUGGAGACUAAACGGCCGCUAUUUAAUCGAUAAUAAAAUGAUAGAGAACGGGAAAGAAUCAGUUUGCUUGCGUGGAGUCGUUCGCCGAAUACGU